rnacentral:rRNA from 1 species
GACGAACGCUGGCGGCGUGCUUAACACAUGCAAGUCGAACGAAGUGGCGAACGGGUGAGUAACGCGUAAUCAACCUGCCCUUCAGAGGGGGACAACAGUUGGAAACGACUGCUAAUACCGCAUACUGAAGGAGGGGAUUGCGUGUGAUUAGCUCGUUGGAGGGGUAACGGCCCACCAAGGCGAUGGUCAGUAGCCGGUCUGGGGGGAUGAACGGCCAAAAUGGGAAUGAGACACGGCCCAGACUUCUACGGGAGGGAGCAGGGGGGAAACGUCCGCAAUGGACGGAAGGCUGACGGAGCAACGCCGCGGGAGUGAUGACGGCCUUCGGGUUGGAAAGCUCUGUUAAUCGGGACGCGGUACCGGAAUAGAAAGCCACGGCUAACUACGUGCCAGCAGCCGCGGUAAUUC